GUACCCCCAAACAACCAAAGUAAUCUUUCCCCUUGCUAGCUACGCACCUUCAAUAAUUUUUUUAACUUUUAAGCACUCUUAUCACCUUUAGUUCUCUCCCUAAAGACGUGAGGCUUUCGGUCCAAUACUCAACAUUCAUCAUCGAUCUUAUCCAGGAAACCAAUUACAAUGAAGCAAACGGUGGUGAUCAAGGUGUCCAUGGAUGGCCACAAGUCCAUCUUCGGUGAGCUGGAUGGACAAAAGGCCCGCAAAAAAGCCUUGAAGAUUGCAGUCGGCCUUCCACGGGUGGUAUCUGCAUCUAUCAAAGGACAGGAUACGGACGAAAUAGAGGUCAAAGGGGAUGGGAUCGAUACCGUGAAACUAGCAAGGUUACUCGGAAGAACUUAGGCCAUGCAGAUAUAAUUACGGUGGCGGAGGACGGGGAGAAGAAAGAUGAGCCAACGGUACUACACUACAAUAUGACGUGGCCUUACGGGGCGGGUGACGUCACAUCCUACUCCUACUCCAAUCCUGGCUACCCAUUCUAUGAGGUCAGGACUUACCAGGAACCCAGCCCAGCUUGCUCCAUCAUGUAACUGUGCUAACUAUCUGGGCUAGGUAUCAUUUUCCUAUUAGUAUUAUUAUGGCAGUUUGAAA